AUUCAGCUGUGUGGAAGCAAGUCAGGAAAGUGAAGAGGCAGAGAUGAGAAGGGCGAGAGCAUUGCAGCCAUGGAGGAGAGCCAGUGAAAAAGUCCUGUGUGAGGAAUCCCAAGAAGGCCAGUGUAGUGGAUUGUAGGGUGCAUGGAGGGAACUGAAGUGUAAGAAGACUGGAAAGGGAAAAAGUGAGAAAACCAGGGGAGGCUUCCUGGAAGAAGUGGUAUCCAAGCUUUGCCUUGAAGGAAAAGACUUCAAAAACUAGAAAUAAGAAGGGAUGUCCAAUGGGGAUUGAUAUGAGGCAUAGGAGAACUGCAUGAAUAAAAGUCAGUUACUCAUGAAAGCCAGAAGUGUGGCCAGUGUCUGAACAUUAAGGCCCACGAGAUGAUGAAUCAUGUCCUCCGAGAGGUCAUUCCAAGUUCUGUAGUGAGCAGUGAAGAACUUUGUCCUACUUGCUCAAUUGCUCUACUUUUAAAAAGAAGCUUCAUAGCAUUUGUAGAUUGAGUGUUUUUUAAAAGAUUCUUGGAUGAAGGAAGAAAUGCAGUUACUUGUCUGUGAUUGUUAGGGUCUAAACGCCAGACACUUAAAUUAAUCUGUUGUAUAUAGAGAUGGUUUCAUGUUAGUUUGUGAAUGCAAGUAUGAGUGUGUGCAUACAGGUGUGUGUGUGUGUGUAGCCAAAUAUACACACGCAUAUAUUCAUUAGAACUGCAUUCGAUUGUCCUGCCCACCAUCAUUCUGCAAUAACUUUAUUAAUACAUCAUAACUAAACCCAAAUUAAAAGUUGUGAAAACUUGGUGUGAUACUUUUCAG